GAACCCAAAGCCUGGAAUAGAAGACAGAGACAAGAGUAAUCUUCAUUUGUCUGUACGACUGAGAGCUAGCGCUAGCGUUGAUAUGGCGAGGGCUUUGCAGCUGAUAGCUGCUGCCAUUUUACUCACUUUGGUUGUCCUGCCUUGCACCAUUGAUGCUGGCAAUGGUUUUCCAUGUAGCCCGGAAGAUCCAGAAGAAUGCCACCCAGAUGAAUGCAAUGAGAGAUGCCGAAGCCAGGAUCCAGCACAUUUCGUAGGCAUAUGUGAUAGUCAGAACUUCCCUCAUCCGGUUUGCUGCUGCAGGCGAAUAUGACCUCAGUCCGCCGCAACCUCGCCAUGAGUGACAAGAGCCGAGCGAGGAAGGCUCCCUCUUGCAAGCAAGUUAAUGAUUAAUACAAUAAAUAUAUAGUUUCAUGGUCUUGAUAAUGAUGUUAUACAUGCUUGCGUCUAUUUGUUGUGACAGAAAAAAAACAUGUGGGUUACAAAA